rnacentral:lncRNA from 1 species
CUCGGGUCCCCUGCCACACUAUGGAAGCUUUGUUCUUUUGCUCUUUGCAAUAAAUCUUGCUACUGCUUACUCUUUGGGUCCACACUGCCUUCAUGAGCUGUAACACUCACCGGGAAGGUCUGCAACUUCACUCCUGAGCCAGCGAGACCACGAGCCCACUGGAAGGAACAAACUCCCGCACGCCGCCUUUAAGAACUGUAACACUCACAGAGAGGGCCCGCGGCUUCAUUCCCGAAGUCAGUGAGACCAAGAACCAACCAAUUCCGGGCACGUUUCUUUUUCUGCAUCCGCUGCUCUGUUAAGUGAUCACCACAUUCAUUGUUCUCGUUUCUAUUAUUUCUGAAAAAAAUCUUCAGGAUUCUGCUUGUGGGAGUGGAUGACAUUUUUACAGUGUUUACAGACACAAAAUGAACAAGAUGUCUGUGGCAACCCUCAGACCAUUGACGCCUUCUCUCCUAUGUAUCAAAUCACACAUUUGGACGUUGACUGAACCCUCACAUGUCAGAUGCUCAAUAUUGAGGUAUAGUAAAAGGGAGCAUGAACUUGAGAAAAUACGCUUUCAACACAAAGCUGUAAUAAUAUAAGGUCAAAUAAGAUUCUGCAUUGGAGAUAGAAAACUCUGAAGGAAGCUUUAUCUAUUCCAGAAUGUCAUAUAGCUGGUAUAAGAUUACCUAUCAUCCAUGGCCAAGAAUUAAGUAGUUGAUUGGCUCUCCAAUGAGUAACAAUUCUAUCUCUUCAUUUUUUAUAUAUGAAGUUUUCAUUUUGGUUGUUGAUACUUUUUGAGCUAUUUUAUUUCAUU